CACUGUGCAGUGCUGCAUCUCUUCAAAGACAUUUAUUGUGGAGACUGGGGUUUGUUAGCUGUGUUGUG
ensembl:miRNA gga-mir-1711 gga-mir-1711